CUCGGCGCCGCGGCCGGGAGCCGUAAGUCAUGGAGAUAUUAAUAGAGGAUCCUAUUACCACGUGUCUUUCUCCUUCAGUGUAUGAUAUGAUUUGUAAACUCGGGUUUGAAGCCAGAGAAAAUUGCGAUAUCAGUAGUAUUGUAACUCAAAAUGGUGAAGUAUGCUGGACGACAAUUACAGACUGUGUGGUUUAUACAGAAUCAGCCCAGGGUCUGGAUUACGGGGGAAGCGUGAGGCUGCUGGGCCCUGUGUGCCAGGCUGUCCACUUACAUUUGUCGUCUCUGACCAAGGGGCAGUUUGAAACGCGAUAUUCACCGGGGCUCCAGUGGACAGGUGUUCCAGAGUUAUUUCCUGAAAUGUUUGAUGCCUUGGGAAGUCUUCAAUCUCUUGCUAUUUCUCUUAGCUUAAUGAAGCUGACAUCAUGUCUGGAGCGAGCCCUGGCUGACGUGUAUUUACUGAUUGGGAAGGAAUGCCCCUUUCUUUUAAGAGAUCUGAUUGCAUCUGAGGAGCUCGCUCAAGUCUUUGGGCAGUCUGUGAUGGACGUGCUCAAGGUCUUCGUGGGCUCUCCGUGCGGACUCAACCUUCGCAACGUCCUGUGGCACGGCUUUGCGGCACCUCAGGAGAUUCCUCCAAAAUACUGUUCAAUGAUGAUAUUGUUGACAGCAGGAUUGGGUCAACUACUAAAGGGUUACCUUCAACAAACUAAGUUCACAUUGGCACAUCGACCUUUCAUAACUCUUACGAGCUUAGAGGAUUUGAUCGUUUUCCCUGAUGUUACUUAUGAGGUACUUUCAGUAUUAGAAGAAGUGAUGAAGAAAUCCACUUUUAUACUAAAAAUCAUGUUGCCAUAUUGGGAAGUUGCAUUAAUCAACUUCAAGUCAAACAGGUACCUGAAGUGUGGCAUUACAAAGUGGUCAUUGGCAGCUUGGAGGCCAGGCCUUCUUAAAACCCUAACCUUCCUGCUUUGUCGCUGUUGGACUUGGAGCAGGUUUGCUGACUGUGCCAUCUUGUUAUUGGUGCAACUAGAGACUGGACUUAGGAAAGUUUUUGCCACAGUUAACAAAUGUCCAAAGAGACUUCUGACUGCUGAGUCAACAGCUCUUUAUACUACCUUUGAUGAGAUAUUGGCAAAACACUUGAAUGAUGGUAAAAUCAAUCAACUUCCUCUUUUCCUUGGAGAGCCUGCAAUGGAAUUUCUCUGGGAUUUCCUGAACCAUCAGGAAGGUCCCCGUCUAAGAGAUCGUUUAAGCCAUGGGGAAAUCAGUUUACCUGAAUUUCCGAAAGAAGCAGCCAAUCAGUUGCUUGCGUUUUCCUUUGUACUUUUACUCAGAUUUAUUGAUGAAGAUCUAUUAUCAGUGUUUAAGCAGGAAAAAGCAGCAGUGAGAGCACUGGUGAGUGUUGCAGAAGCCUACAGCGCUCGCUGCCAUCCCGUUUCUCAGCUUAAAAAGCAGGUGCUGAGCUGUGAGAGGAGCAUCGGAGUUUGGCCUCUGCUGCCUUUGCCUGAAGGAUCCGAAAGGGAGGCUCAGCGAUCAGAAGGUAAUUCUGAAAUAAAUGCCUGCCACUCUUUAAUCACAGAAAUCAUGGCUGAGCUGUGUCGCCAUGUGCCCGGGGCCCACCGCGUUCCUCACGACUGGGAGCACCUUCCUCCUGAGAAGUGGCCCCAGCUGCUCCGUGAGCUCUGCAGCAUCCCUGUCCGGACCCUCUUCUGCCCCAGAGCCGUCCUGGAGGUGCUGGCCGUGCUCCGGAAGAUCGGCGCCCACUGCCGCCGUGUGUGUGGCCAGGUGGCCGCCUGCGCGGAGCUGAGGCGCCGGCAGUGGGAGGACAGGAGCCUGCGCUCCCGGCAGCGGCGGAACUACCUGCGCCUGGUUCACAGUAUUAAGCUUCUGUCUCCUAUGCUUUACCUGAUUUUAUUGCUGAUUGCGCUGGAAUUGGUCAACAUUCAUGUGGUUCUUGGGAAAAAUACUUCAGAAUAUCAGCAGUAUCUAAGGUUCUUAAAGUCCAUCUUGCAGUACACAGAGAACCUGGCGGCUUACACCAGCCAAGACAAGAACAAGUGGGAUGAAGCUGUCAAUCUCACACAGGCGGCCUUGUUGAAAAUUUGGACUUUUAGUGGGAAGAAACAAAUGUUAAUACAUUUAGCCAAGAAAUCCACGAGUAAAGUAGUCUAAUAAGUCAGGAUGCUUUGGGAUCUAUCAGAAAACCCGACCUGAGUAGACUUCACAGCAUGUGGUGUCAGUGGAUUUUGCAGAAAUAAACAACUCGUACUUGGGGCAGCCGGCCGUGGGAAGCUCUCCUGAAGCCUGUGGGCACACGGCGAGGAGGCGUGGGCAUGAGAGCCUUUUGUCUCUGACCUGGGCCUUGGAACGUGCGCAGCCUGGUCCUGCGAGGGCGUCUGCGGUUUCAGAAGGAGAUGCUCCAGCAGGCGCCGACCCGAUGCCGCGGCGGCUCAGACGACACCUCCCACCGUCUCGGUCACGAGGAAACUAGGAGCCUCGGGGGAGCCGGGCUUCUAGCCGGUACACGGGUCCGGAGGGCAGCUAGGAGAGUUACUGUCAUGGUUGUGUCCCAGAACCCUUGGGUCUGUGCUGUGGGCCUGUUCGUGGCUCAGCCCCAGCCCCGCACAGGCCGCGCCCGCUCAGCAAGAGCCUCCGCGAAGGCUCAACACCCACACCCCAGACGCCGGUGCUGGCAACUCAGAGGCACGUUCGGCCGUCACUUCGCCGUCAGUUUUCCGUCCAUCCUGCCCCAAGACGAUCUCCUGUCCUGCCCAGGACUCUCGCCGGUCUUGGUCUGGGCUUCGA